rnacentral:rRNA from 1 species
GCUCAGGACGAACGCUGGCGGCGCGCCUAACACAUGCAGGUCGAACGAGCGAGAGAGAGCUUGCUUUCUUGAGCGAGUGGCGAACGGGUGAGUAACGCGUGAGGAACCUGCCUCAAAGAGGGGGACAACAGUUGGAAACGACUGCUAAUACCGCAUAAGCCCACGGCUCGGCAUCGAGCAGAGGGAAAAGGAGCAAUCCGCUUUGAGAUGGCCUCGCGUCCGAUUAGCUAGUUGGUGAGGUAACGGCCCACCAAGGCAACGAUCGGUAGCCGGACUGAGAGGUUGAACGGCCACAUUGGGACUGAGACACGGCCCAGACUCCUACGGGAGGCAGCAGUA